ensembl:lncRNA novel transcript
GAUUGUGAGGCUUCCCCAGCCAUGUGGAAACAUAUUCGCAGAGCACCCACUAGGUGCCAGUAAAUGUAUGAGAAGUCCUGUGGAAUAAGACUGAAGUUGUCCUUGCCUUCAAGCAACUUGCAAUUGCCUAAGAACACAGUUUAAAACCACAAAACUAAGCCUUGGAAAUCACAUGCUGUCAUUUCUGCGAUCGGUCAUAACCAGUCCUGAUUCCAUGUUAGAGGAGACUACAUAAGGACACAGGUACCAGAAGAAACUUCUAAGUGCUGCUGUAUUUCACCAAGCUCCAGUUGAUAUCCAAAUUGGACAACUCCUGUGUGCCAGGACAAUAUGAAAAAUUUGGAGUCUAGUGAAAAGAAGUGACUUGCUCAAAAUCACACAGCACAUGAAGAACAGAGCCUCUAUGAUGAAUUUCUUGACAGCUGAUAUAAGUCUUUUGAGGUACAGCCUGGCACAAAAAGGAUGAGAUUUGUGGGCAGAAUUUUGGAAGAAUAUCUCCCGAGAGAACAUUCAGGACAGAUUGCACUGCUUUGGAGAGCUGGUGAUGAAAUCCGGCCAUUGAAUUACACUGCACUAUAAACUUCAUUUGUUCUUGGGUGCAUAGUGAUUUGCUAUAAUAAUGAUCAUCCAUUUGCCAGACAGCUGAGAUUUUUUAAAAGCUUGAUUGCUUUUGGCAUGGCAUUAUUAGUCCUGGAAGAAGGCAGCACAUUUGUAGCAAUUCUCAGCUUGAGCAAACUAGAAUAUUCACCUCCCACAAAUGCUGGCCAUUUAAGAUCUGUGUGUUAGACUUUGGCAUUUUUUCUAGCAAUUCUACAACAGCAUACACACUUUUAUUUUUCAUUAACACCAUUGUGAAUAUGCCCAUCUCUAAAAUUUCAAGGGGGUUCACUUAAGCUACUGAGUUUUAUGGACAGAAGGGCCAAGAAAAGUCCCCAAAGAAGAGUGCAUGCUGUCAAUUGCCAAUUAUUUUUUUUUCUAAUGAAAGCCAAACAAUUCCAGACAAACCCUUUUCUAAGAAAUGAACUACAUAUCUGGAUCCAAAUAAAUACUCAUCUGAUAAGAAUCUAAAAGCUCUACUGAAUUACAGUGGAUGAGAACAUGAUGAUGGUGAUUCUUUGAAGAUUACUGAGGAAAUCAACUCUCAUGUCUGAUUCUGAUACUUUUAUAGUCCAUCCAUGUUGAAAAUGUCUAUGGAAUGAUUCUGUUGUACCUUGAGAAAUGAAAUUCAUAGGCAUGGAUUCUCUCACACAGCAACUUUAUACACAAAGAUGAGAAUAGAAGAAAGGUCAUUUCCAAAGAAAGUGACAUUUAUUCUGUAUUCACUGAAAAGCCAAAAGAAUUUUCUCAUUCACCCAUACCGACAGAGCCCUACAUCUCCCCGAGAAGAGGUGAAAGAGACUGCUCCUAUCUGCUUCUGCAUCAAACUUCAGGCUCAAGACCUGUCCAGAAAAAAAAAUGUCUUCUUUCAGGGAUGAACUGCUGUCCUCAUCAGACGCCUUAUUUUGUUUAGAAUUCAAGCUCACUUGACAGGUAUUCUAUACUUUUUUCAAUACAACUAAGCUAAUGCCCA